UGGUUUAUUAGAGUCUGAUUCAUCCACUCUACUCUUCCUGUGGAGGAUGGAUGCCAAGGAGUAUGGUAUUCCCAAUGUAUAUCUAGUACCUGUGCUAACUUCUUAAUGACAUGCACAGUGAAAUGGGUUGCAGUAUCUGAAUCAGUAUUUUCUAUUAGUUCAAAUCUGGGUAUGAUGUUUUCAAUUAGCGCUUUAACUACAUUACUGGAGGUUGCACGUGAGAAUGGGAUUGCCUCUACCCAGUGGGUAAAAUGGUCUAUUAUUACUAAUAAGUAUAACUACCAAUUGGAGGCAUUUCAGUGUAAUUGAUCUGAACACUUUGAAAUGGUCUCAGUGCUGGAUUUCUUCCACCAAGGCGCAAUUUCCUUAGAUCCUGCUUAUUAGCUUUUUUUACAUGUUAAGCAACUAUCUAUAACUUGUUUGGCCAGGGUGUAAAUUCUUAUACACCCAUAAACCCGGAGAACUGCAUUGCACAUUGCUUGGGGUCCCCAAUGGGUCCCUUGAUGUAAUUGAGACAAGACUUCCCUCAUGAGAGGUUUUGACAACAUUUCCCUUUGAUCUGAUAAUAUCCAUUUCCUAUCCGCAUUUUCUUUAGCUCCUAUUUUUAUCAACGUCUUUUGUUCAAUGGAAGAGAAAACGGGUUACAGUAGGAGGAGGGCAUGGAGUUAAAUGGAAGAAAUGGCAACUUGUUUUGCUAUUUUAUUGUAACCGACUGAGUUAUAGAGAGAAUGCCACAGUCUGAGACUAAUUCAGUGAUCCUUUAUUGCCAGCAACCGAGAGACGGCUAGAGCUCAAAAUUCUCUCAGCCCCGAAGAAGGGGCUACACAUCUUUUUACACCUUGGUCUAAAGAGGGGAGGAGGAGUGUAGCUGAAGCAAUUUUUUACAGAAGCAGAACAGGCAAAAAAGUUGAAAGAUAAAUGGUUACAGAAACAGUAAUAAGAAAAUAAACAGUUCCAGGUGCAGGGGCUUAAAUUAUCACAAAGUGAUAAACGCAAAGGCUUUGGGCACCGUCAACCGAGUGCGUUCCCAGGAGCUGCUGGUACAGCUUGCCUCAGUAUCUUAUCAGUAAGCGCAUUCUUGGAUGUGCUUGGAGUCAGCUUGCACCAGUUAUGUCCUUAAGGGAGGGGGACAAGGGGCUGCAAGUGAAGAAACCAAAAUGGAGUCUGUCCAGCUCUCUCAGCUAAGAGAGAGUCAAUCAGGUUAAAAGAAGUUAGGGUAUCACAUUUCCCACUCGUGUUUGGGGGAAUCAGAUCAUUGAUUCCUCGGUUAUAACAAGGGUGUUAUAUUGGGUUCUAAGAUACAUAAGAUUGACAGAAGCUAUGCGUUGCUUUACAAAAUUAAGAAACCAAUUUAAUAUACAAGGCCUGAAGACUAACCCUAACAAGAGGAGGAGAAGGGGGUCCCGCCAACCCAGUAAUUAGAGUAGUUAGCCAGGGAUUCCAGUUAAACAUGCUUUGGUACUUUGGUACUCCAGGAAUGAGAAAGGUGGUGUUACUUUCUUGUUCCUUCUGGCAUCUAUCUAGAUUUUCUCGAACUCUUUGAAGAGUAUUUUUUAUGACUCCAGACUGAUUGGCAUAGAAACAACAACUUUCUUCUAGAGCUGUGCAUAAACCUCCUUGGGAGAUAAAUAGCAGAUCUAAGCCUCGGCGGUUUUGAAGAACUACUUCAGCUAGAGACUCUACCUGGGCAUGUAGUAUAUUUAUGGCUGAUUGGAGAUUGCUUAAAUCAGCAUCUACCUGUUGAGAUAGUGAUAUUAGUCCAGUUUCUCCUUGAAUCAGGGCAGUCGUGCCAAUAGCUGCUGACGUAGCUAUGCUAAGGCCAGCUAGAAGGGGUACAAGGAGUAGGGCAGCUCGGUGAAACCUGAAAUGCAAUUCAGGGGGAGCAAUGAGAAGUUGUCCUUCUGGCCCACUGUACAUGUAGAUCUGGGGGAGUACAUGAAUCAACAUGCAUAGGAGAGGUCCAGGUUCAGUCCCAUUGAUGCAGCGAGUGAGGCCUGAAAUGCAGGCCAACCAGGUAUUUUUGGGUGCCUGGUAGGAGACUGAGGGGUUUAAGGAAGUAAGGAGAGACUCACUACAAGUAGCCUGAAAGGGAGAAGCAGGUAAGUUAUACCUUGCGCUAAUUAGACAGAAGGCAUUCCCUGACACAUCUCCUAGUGUAAGGGCAUGGGGGCACGUAUGACAAGAAAGAGAGUCCAUUUUGAGCAUGGCUUCUACUCCUAAUCCAACAUAAUAUGGGGGUUUGGCCUUUCGGCACAACCAGCAAUCUCAGGCUAGUUUAGGCUUGGUGAGAUUAAGGAGGUGAUGUAUCCCGUCCAAAAUGGACAUCGGGCUGGGUUGGAGGUAUUGUCAUUGCAGCUGGGGUCUCAGAACCAGGAAUGGCAGUGGGACAGUUAAAUCGACUCUCUCUGGGUGUUUUUGGAACAUAGGGUCACCUAAAUCAGUUAAAGUUCUGAUUGGCUUCAUGGGACCAGGAAUUUUUUCUGGAUGGUGAACAUAGUUCCAACAUCAAAUCCUGAAAUAUAAAGCCUUAAUCCCUAUGACAUGCUGUAAUACCAUUGAGUUAAACUAGGGUUACGGAGAGUUAUAGUAAGAGGAUUACAAUUUCCUAUAGUACACGGCUUAGGAUGGGAAGCACAAGCUAUGGAAAGGGUUGAGGAUCAGGUUCAUCCUCCAGAGUAAGUGGCCAAGGUUACACACAUGCAGUAAGGGCAGAAAAACUGGUAAGAAUCUCGACAACUAGAGUCAGGGCGAUUUCCAGGACAAAGGUAAAAGUCAACGCUCUGGAGCCUUUUUUCUGCACCCUUAGAACUUCCACAUCCAGUUUGGCUUCUGGUGUGUCCGAACCCUGCAGCAAGGUCAGCGUUCCCUGCUCUCAUGAUCGGCAGAUUGCAUUGCUCUUCAAGGGUAUGGGCAGGGUCGGGGAACAAAGCACAUAAACCGACUACAAAAGAGACUUCCUUGGAGGGUCCCACCUUCCAAGUGGUGUUUGCAAACACACAUCCUGUCAUGAAGGAAGUGAGGAGAAAAGAGUAGGAAGGGGCAGAGGACAUAACAGGUGGAAACAGACAGAAGAGGUAAAUAAAAAGAAUUAAUUCGAUAGCUUUACUCAACUUAGGCGCAGUUUUAAGGGGCCUGGCCUAGGCUUGGGGACCCAUUUUUUUUGCUGGGCUUUGUUGGCCUUUUUGAUGCGAGAAUGAUGAAUCCAAGCAGGAGUGCCGUCCACCUUCAGAGCUGUUGGUGUGGUGAGGAUGACAGUAUGAGGUCCUUUCCAGGCAGGAGUCAGUCCUUUUUUCUGGAACUUUUUAACAUACACUAGGUCACCCAGCUGGAAAGAGUGGCAGGGCCCAGUCUGGUCAGGAACUGGGCUGGGGUGUGCUCCCCUGACAAGCAGCUGGAUGAUGUCUUGUACCCGUUGGAGAGACUGCAGGUACUGUAACAAGUUAGCUUGUGAGAUUUCUGCUAAAUGGGUAUCCUUUAGCUUAGGCAAGAUAGGCGGAGCCCUUCCAUACAUGAUUUCAAAAGGUGAAAACCCAGCCUGGUAAGGGGUGCAUCUUACUCUAAGAAGGGCUAAAGGAAGGAGCUUUACCUAGUUUUCACUGGUUUCUAGGAUUAAUUUUGCAAGAGUACUUUUUAGGAUGGGGUUCAUGCAUUCUACUUGUCCAGAGCUCUGGGGUCGAUAGGCACAAUGGAGUUUCCAUUGAAUGUUUAAUGCCUUGCUGACCGACUGAGCUAUGGACGAGGUGAAGGCUGGUCCAUUAUCAGACCUUAUUACAACAGGCAGUCCAUGUUGAGGGAUGAUUUCAUUGAGUAAAAGCUUAACUACCGUGGUAGCAGUUUCGUUUUUGGUGGCAAAUGCCUCAGUCCAUCCAGAAAAGGUGUCUACUAGCACCAGGAGGUAUUUAUACCCUGCCAAGUGUGGUUUUACCUCUGUAAAGUCAAUUUCCCACCUUCCUCCUGGCAAGCCUCCCUGGAGGCGGUGGCCUGGGCUGGGCUUAGGACCUUGCUUGGUGUUUACUUGGGCACAAGCCGUUUACUGGAGAGCUGCUUGGUUAGUUAAGUCCUGAAGGUGGGGGAUCUUGAAAUGGCUCCUUAGAAGCUGGGCCAGUUUUACUCCUCCUAAAUGGGUGGUAGAAUGUAGAUGAUUGAUAAAAGUUUCCCCAAGGGCUUGGGGCAUGAAGAUUCUGGAAUCAGGAAGAAUUCACCAACCUUCCUGAUUUUUACUGGCUUGAAGAUCCGAAGCUUGUUUUUCUUCCUCUGGGGAGUAUUCUGGGUAGUCUGCCCAGUCAGUUGUGGAAAGGACACAGAGGGCAGCAGGGUUAAAGGCACGACCAGGAGCUGAGCUGCCUCUCAAGCUGCAGAGUCUGCUCUUUGGUUACCACGAGCAAUGGCCAUGUCUUCUCUUUGAUGUCCUUUGCAGUGAAUUGCAGCCACCUGUUGAGGGAGCCAAACAGCUUCAAGCAGGGCUAAAAUUUCUUCUUUGUUGUUGACACUCUUUCCUGCUGAGGUAGGAAAUGCUGGGAAGAAAAAGCUGGGCCUUCUUGGCUGGGACCUGAUACCCGAAUUCCUGAAGGAGGUAAAGUAGGUCCGUAGUAUGUUGCAGGCAGCUGUCAGUAGUUUCAGUAGCCAAUAACAGGUCGUCUACAUACUGGAGAAGAGUGCAGUUAGGGUGACUGGCUCAGAAUGGUAAAAGAUCCUGUUGGAGGGCUUCCCUAAAAAGGGUGGGGGAAUUUUUAAAACUUCGGGGUAACCAAGUCCAGGUUAAUUGGGUGGUGUCUACCGAGCCAGGAUAUGUCUGUUCAAAAGCAAAGAUAGGUUGACUUUUGGGGCCAGAGGAAUAGCAAAAAAAAGCAUCCUUGAAGUCAAGGACAGUGUACACCAUAUGUUCUGGUGGGAGCAGGCUGAGUAAAGUAUAAGGGUUAGAGACAGUUGGAUGGACAGUGACUGUCUGCUUGUUACCUUCCUGCAAGUCCUGUACAGGCUGGUAAUCAUUUGUUCCGGGUUUCUGGACCGGCAAAAAUGGAAUAUUCCAGGCGAUCUCACAUGGUGUGAGUAUACCAGCUUGUAAUAGUUGCUGAAUAUGAGGAUUAAUUCCCUCUAUAGCCCACAGAAUCAUAGGAUAUUGUUUGACCUGGACCGGCAGGGUGGUGGCCAGGAGUUCUACAACAGCUGGCAGAUGGUGGUUUGCCAGUCCUGGGAGGUAUGAGGAAACAGAGUCUGUAAAGCCAGUAGGAGAGGAUUACUUUUAUUCUCCGGCAGUUGUGAGGGUGAAACUAAGAGAUAUUCCUCUGACCGAAGGGUGGUUAGCAGGAGCUGAGCAGUAGGGGGCAUUGUGUCCCCUAACAUGAGGUGAGUUUGUUGGGCCGAGAAGGAGAUGGACGCCUGUAGCUUAUGAAGCAGGUCUCAUCCGAGGAGGGAGAAGGGGCACUCUGGGACCACGAGGAACAAGUGGGUUACUCUUUUCUGUCCUAAACUCACCUCUCGUGAGUGGGUGACAGGAUAUUCCUGAAUAGCUCCAGUAGCCCUUUACUCAGCAACCUUUUUAUUAGACACUGCCUAAGGGUGUCUGGAGUACUGAGUGUUCCACCCCGGUGUCAAUUAGGAAGCGUACAGGCUGGCCCCCCACUGUGGUGGUCACCAUGGGUUCCCGGGGCCAAGUGACAAAGAGCCCUGGCCCCGUCAAUCAUCAGAUUCCUCUGCUGCGGGGCAGGGUGAGGACCUUUUUCUUUUCUGGUUUCUCCUCUGGCUUUAAUGGGCAUUCCUUUCUCCAGUGUCCAAUCUGCUUGCAAGAAGCACAUUGGUUUCUUUAUAGGGGAGUCCUCUCACGUUUCUGGCCUUCCUGGUGGGGACUCGGGGUCCCCUGGUCAGUGCUCUGUGAUGGGGGCCCUUCCUUUUUGGCUUCUUGGAUGGCAGCCACUAAGCUUUUUGCCUGUCUUUUUGAUGCUUUGUCUGCAGCCCUUUCAGCUGCCUGAGCUACCUGUUUUUGCUUUUCAAAUUCUCGAUUGUCGAAAACUCUCUGGGCUAUCUCUAAAAGCUGGCUGAUGUAAGGAAAUACUUUCUGGCUUCUCUUCAGAUAUGGUCCCUCUCUUCAGAGGUGAAAAGGGAUGAAAGGAGUUGCUGACACUCAUCCCAGGUGGGCCGGUGAGUCUGGAGCACAGACUCCAUCAGUGAGGUUAAGACCUGGGGCUUUUCAGAAAAGGGGGGAUUAUGAGCCUUCCAGUUGUACAGGUCAGAAGUAGAGAAGGGGACAUAAACUAAAAAUGGAGCACAACGCCCACUGCCCAAAGGGAUUUGGGCCUCUGUCAGUGGGAGGAGCGGGGCCACCUCCUCCGGCUGAGGCCAUAAUUGGGAGGAUAUAGGCAGAGAGGCCACAGAGGAUGUAGUUGAGGAGACAAGGGAAGAUUCUGGGGGAGGAGGAGGGUUAUAGGGUGGUGGAAAUGGGUGAAGAAAACUUUCCUCUUCUUCAGAAGGAGGCAGUACAGGAGGAAUCGAGGGAGCUGAGGGUGGAGGCAAAAGUGAGGUCUGGCUAAAAAGGACCUUGGAGGUAGGAUCACGAAUGGCUACAGAGUUUUAUCACGAGUGGAGCCAUGAAGGAGAGCUCUGGACUAAAUCUAGCCAUUGAUCAAUGUAGGGAAACUGAUCGGGGUGACCGGGAGUUCCAACAACGACCCACCACACAGCCUGAACAGCUGUGAAGUGUAGUGACCCGUCUGGGGGCCACCCAGUUCCAAACUUUGGCCAUUCUACUUCGCAGAGUGUCCAGAGUUUGCCUUUUUUAAGGCGGACCCCGUAAUCAUCUGAGAAGCCUAGAGAGAAAUUCUGCAACAUACACUGGAGAGGACUCCAAUCUUUAUGGGGCCGGGAAGAAGAGUUUACUAUUCUGGAGGCAAUUAACAAGGUUUGAACAAAAAUAUUAAACCCAGCAUGGACAAAGAUAUUCACGGCCUGGGAGGCUAUGGUAUCAGAAGAACAGAAGUAUUAUAGCUAGAAGAAGUAGGAAAACAACUAUAGCCAAUAUUUCUUGCCACAUAAGGUCUGUCUCCUCAAGCUUCGAGAUCUAUGGAGAGGAUAAGAGGUGGGUCCAAGGGAUCCUCAGCCAGUGGGACUUAGGUGACCCCCCCUUCUUGACUUAUAUCCCAAAUAACUUUGGUGUCUCCACGACUCGAAAGCAAAAUGUUCAAACUCGGUCCUUUCCUUCACGGGUUUAAGGAGGGAGAACACAGCCAAGUCUUAGAGACGCUGGACUUGCUGCAACACAGGAAAAUGAGAUGUGCAGGGUAAGGGAUGGGGAUGAGGAGGAAAGGGGCCACUUGGAUUUCCCUAAAGGUUGGAGAGUAGCCAAAAGAGGUAAAAUAAGAGUCCAGACAGAGUAGAGCAGUAUGGGUGUAGGUUUCUCUGCACAGUGCCUUAUUUAAGGGCAUGGGAAAAGUUAUGGGAUGACAGAAAAGGUGAGUAAGGAGGUCAGCAGGGUGGCUAUUUUGGAUCCACCACUGGUCUAAGGAGAAGGUGGACCAGUCGUUGGGGCGUGGGGUAUGGCAAUCCAAACGCCAGCAAUCUUUAUGGUGCCAGAAAUCCUAAACGGGUGAAUGUCUUCCACACCCUUCCCCAUAACAACACCUAAUUUGUUUCUGACAGGAAAGGCAGGACUGGGAUGGCCAGCCCAACCGACUAAUGAGGAAUUUGACCUCCUGGGAUAGAAAAUCUGUACUAAGGACCUUGAAGAAGUCCUUGCCCAGUCAUUUUGGGCAGUAUCGACGAUCCGACAUAUGAAAUUUAGACAGACACUAAACAGGACAAUAGGCACUGGGGUAUAUAAACAAGCAUGGCAAUUUUUAUAGACAGACAAGGGGAGGGGGUCCCGUGAUGGGAUCAGUCAGAUGCCCUCCUGGCUGCUCCCCUUUCGGGGACUUAGGCUCCUCUUGGCAUUGGCAGGCUGGUAUAAACCCCUGGCUUGGAUCGAGCUAUGCCUGAUGCCGCCCUAAGCCUUAUGAGGUCACCACGGAACCACAGGUGAGGGCCUUCUCGAAUUCCCUAGCUUUCACCCUGGAGCUACAAACUGGAAAUUCAAGCGCAAGCCCUUGAACUCCACAUUCACUCACUCACUCACUCACUCAGAGUUUAUUACAAUUUUUAUACCCAUUCUAAAACAGAGAUCUCCCGGAGACCUGAAUGAGAGAGGGAGAAGAGAUAGAGAGAGAGAGAGACUAGACUUAACAGAGAAUCCUGACAGAAACCAGGACUCUGUCCUCCAGUGUCCUGGAGCAUGGACAGAGUCUGAGGGAGGACCUUCGUCAGGGCCGUUUCCCUCCCAGAGAGACAGAGUCAGAUCUGACUUACCUUCCCGGGACUAGAGACUGAGGACUCAGGAGUUGAAUUUGGCUGGGCGCACCGGCAGUCGAUCCGUUCCCCUCCAGAAGACAGUGGCCUGUGGAGCCCUGGAACGUCUUCAGGUGGCCCUGUAAGCCAGCUGUCUGUCUGGGGAAGCCCGGAAUGAGUCAGGUCUUCACCCGGUGGCGAAUCUCUCUGGGGCUUCCAAAUGUCGUAACCGAGCAAGUCAUAGAGAGAAUGCCACACUCUGAGACUAAUUCAGGAGUCCUUUAUUGCUGGCGACUGAGAAAGAGCUAGAGCUUGAAAUUCUCUCGGUCCGGAAGAAGAGGCUAGAGUUCUUUUUAUACCUUGGCCUAAAGAGGGGAGGGGGAGUCUAGCUGAAGCAAUUUUUUACAGAAGCAGAACAGGAAAAAAUUAAAAGAUAAAUGGUUACAGAAACAGUUACAGGAAAAUAAACAGUUCCAGGUGCAGGGGCUUAAAGUAUCCCAAAGUGAUAAAAGCAGGGGCUUUGGAUACCACCAACCAAGUGUGCUCCCAGGAGCUGCUGGUACAGCUUGCCUCAGUAUCUUAUCAAUAAGCGCAUUCUUGGAUGUGCUUGGAGUCAGCUUGCACCAGUUAUGUCCUUAAGGAGGGGGACAAGGGGCUGCAAGCGAAGAAACCAAGCUAAGACUCUCUCAGCUAUUGACUCUCUCGAUAUUGACUCUCAAUUGAGUCUCCCAAGCUAUUGACUCUCUCAGCUAAGAAAGAGUCAAUCAGGAUAAAACAAGAUAGGGUAUCACAAUUUGAUCUGCAAGAUUAUUUCCUGGACUUGUGAAAGGCGAGUCGUUUUGGUGCCCUGGGACAUGUACAAUAGCUAUCUCUUCUGGCAAUUGGAGAUUGUUGAGGACACGAGCAUCAGUUCUCUAUGAACUAAAUCUUGGCCUCUACUAUUGAUAAGAGCCCUCUCCAUCCAAAUUUUCCCAAAUGUGUGUGCCUCCCCAGAGGGAUACUUAGAGUCAGUAUAGAUAGAUUUUCUUGGUUUUGUAAAUGUCCUAAAGCUUGGCUGAGUGCAAACAGUUCACACCCUUGGACAGACCAAUUAUUAGACCCCCUUCCUGAUUUUACUUUUUUAACAGUCUUUCCAUUAAUCACUGAAUACCUAUUAUGUCUCUUUCUUUUAAUCACCUGGGAGGUUCCAUCUAUGAAUAAGUGCCACCCUGUCUUGAAGGGAGUUUUUCCUAAGUCUGGUUGAACUUUCGUAUGGUAAUUAAUUCGAUUUAAACACGCGUGCUCUCUCGUUUUACGUUUGGAUCCCCCGUUAAAGAGCCUGCUGAAUAAAGUGAAUUAUUAGUACUUAAUAUUAAAUCACCUUUUUCCCAGAAAGAUAGCCUCAUAUUUUAAAAUUUUUGAGUUGGUAAUCUCCCUCCUUGCGUUUUGAUUUAAUAUAGUUUUAACUUGGUGGGUUGUGGCCUGAAGCGGCUGGGGAGUAACUUGAAACCUCAGCUGAAGGGACAGCACAGGCUGGGGCGUGGCCUGAAACAGCUGGGGAGUAACCUGAAACCACAGCCGGAGGGACCUGAGAGGGGAACCAAAGGGGCAGGAUUGGGGGCGCUGAAGGAAGGAAGGUGAUUUAGAGGAUCCCAUGUCUUGGUAGGUAUGGGUUGUCUAGGCAUGGGAACUCUUUCCUUUUUAGAAAGGUUGGUUUCUGAUUUUCUCCCUCCAGAGUCUAAAGGGUAAAGGAGAACUGGUCCCUGCCGCCAGCAGAGGGCGUAAUCGAUUUUUCCUGGGACACAGGGCUCUUACUGUUAACAUAUUUGAUUAACAGCUGACAAAUUCGCUCUUCAUUAGACUUAAAUUUUGGCCAGAAAAGUGAGGGCUUAAGGAUGGGUUCUCGAACUUAAAUAAAACAACAAUAUUCUAUCA